AUCCAGCUGACGAGUCCUAGAUAAGAUGAAACGCCCAUCCUGGAU
rnacentral:hammerhead_ribozyme from 1 species